GGGUUGUGAGGUUAAGCGACUAAGCGUACACGGUGGAUGCCCUGGCAGUCAGAGGCGAUGAAGGACGUGCUAAUCUGCGAAAAGCGUCGGUAAGGUGAUAUGAACCGUUAUAACCGGCGAUGUCCGAAUGGGGAAACCCAGUGUGAUUCGUCACACUAUCGUUAACUGAAUACAUAGGUUAACGAGGCGAACCGGGGGAACUGAAACAUCUAAGUACCCCGAGGAAAAGAAAUCAACCGAGAUUCCCCCAGUAGCGGCGAGCGAACGGGGAGCAGCCCAGAGUCUGAAUCAGCUUGUGUGUUAGUGGAACGGUCUGGAAAGUCCGACGGUACAGGGUGAUAGUCCCGUACACCAAAAUGCACAGGUUGUGAACUCGAAGAGUAGGGCGGGACACGUGGUAUCCUGUCUGAAUAUGGGGGGACCAUCCUCCAAGGCUAAAUACUCCUGACUGACCGAUAGUGAACCAGUACCGUGAGGGAAAGGCGAAAAGAACCCCGGCGAGGGGAGUGAAAAAGAACCUGAAACCGUGUACGUACAAGCAGUGGGAGCACCUUCGGGUGUGACUGCGUACCUUUUGUAUAAUGGGUCAGCGACUUAUAUUCUGUAGCAAGGUUAACCGUAUAGGGGAGCCGCAGGGAAACCGAGUCUUAACUGGGCGUUAAGUUGCAGGGUAUAGACCCGAAACCCGGUGAUCUAGCCAUGGGCAGGUUGAAGGUUGGGUAACACUAACUGGAGGACCGAACCGACUAAUGUUGAAAAAUUAGCGGAUGACUUGUGGCUGGGGGUGAAAGGCCAAUCAAACCGGGAGAUAGCUGGUUCUCCCCGAAAGCUAUUUAGGUAGCGCCUCGUGAAUUCAUCUUCGGGGGUAGAGCACUGUUUCGGCUAGGGGGUCAUCCCGACUUACCAACCCGAUGCAAACUACGAAUACCGAAGAAUGUUAUCACGGGAGACACACGGCGGGUGCUAACGUCCGUCGUGAAGAGGGAAACAACCCAGACCGCCAGCUAAGGUCCCAAAGUCAUGGUUAAGUGGGAAACGAUGUGGGAAGGCACAGACAGCCAGGAUGUUGGCUUAGAAGCAGCCAUCAUUUAAAGAAAGCGUAAUAGCUCACUGGUCGAGUCGGCCUGCGCGGAAGAUGUAACGGGGCUAAACCAUGCACCGAAGCUGCGGCAGCGACACUAUGUGUUGUUGGGUAGGGGAGCGUUCUGUAAGCCUGCGAAGGUGACCUGUGAGGGUUGCUGGAGGUAUCAGAAGUGCGAAUGCUGACAUAAGUAACGAUAAAGCGGGUGAAAAGCCCGCUCGCCGGAAGACCAAGGGUUCCUGUCCAACGUUAAUCGGGGCAGGGUGAGUCGACCCCUAAGGCGAGGCCGAAAGGCGUAGUCGAUGGGAAACAGGUUAAUAUUCCUGUACUUGGUGUUACUGCGAAGGGGGGACGGAGAAGGCUAUGUUAGCCGGGCGACGGUUGUCCCGGUUUAAGCAUGUAGGCUGAUUGUCCAGGCAAAUCCGGAUAAUCAAGGCUGAGGUGUGAUGACGAGGCACUACGGUGCUGAAGUAACAAAUGCCCUGCUUCCAGGAAAAGCCUCUAAGCAUCAGGUAACAUUAAAUCGUACCCCAAACCGACACAGGUGGUCAGGUAGAGAAUACCAAGGCGCUUGAGAGAACUCGGGUGAAGGAACUAGGCAAAAUGGUGCCGUAACUUCGGGAGAAGGCACGCUGGUGUGUAGGUGAAGUCCCUGCGGAUGGAGCUGAGACCAGUCGAAGAUACCAGCUGGCUGCAACUGUUUAUUAAAAACACAGCACUGUGCAAACACGAAAGUGGACGUAUACGGUGUGACGCCUGCCCGGUGCCGGAAGGUUAAUUGAUGGGGUUAUCCGUAAGGAGAAGCUCUUGAUCGAAGCCCCGGUAAACGGCGGCCGUAACUAUAACGGUCCUAAGGUAGCGAAAUUCCUUGUCGGGUAAGUUCCGACCUGCACGAAUGGCGUAAUGAUGGCCAGGCUGUCUCCACCCGAGACUCAGUGAAAUUGAACUCGCUGUGAAGAUGCAGUGUACCCGCGGCAAGACGGAAAGACCCCGUGAACCUUUACUAUAGCUUGACACUGAACAUUGAGCCUUGAUGUGUAGGAUAGGUGGGAGGCUUUGAAGCGUGGACGCCAGUCUGCGUGGAGCCAACCUUGAAAUACCACCCUUUAAUGUUUGAUGUUCUAACGUUGGCCCCUGACCGGGGUUGCGGACAGUGUCUGGUGGGUAGUUUGACUGGGGCGGUCUCCUCCCAAAGCGUAACGGAGGAGCACGAAGGUUAGCUAAUCCUGGUCGGACAUCAGGAGGUUAGUGCAAUGGCAUAAGCUAGCUUGACUGCGAGCGUGACGGCGCGAGCAGGUGCGAAAGCAGGUCAUAGUGAUCCGGUGGUUCUGAAUGGAAGGGCCAUCGCUCAACGGAUAAAAGGUACUCCGGGGAUAACAGGCUGAUACCGCCCAAGAGUUCAUAUCGACGGCGGUGUUUGGCACCUCGAUGUCGGCUCAUCACAUCCUGGGGCUGAAGUAGGUCCCAAGGGUAUGGCUGUUCGCCAUUUAAAGUGGUACGCGAGCUGGGUUUAGAACGUCGUGAGACAGUUCGGUCCCUAUCUGCCGUGGGCGCUGGAGAAUUGAGGGGGGCUGCUCCUAGUACGAGAGGACCGGAGUGGACGCAUCACUGGUGUUCGGGUUGUCAUGCCAAUGGCACUGCCCGGUAGCUAAAUGCGGAAGAGAUAAGUGCUGAAAGCAUCUAAGCACGAAACUUGCCCCGAGAUGAGUUCUCCCUGAGACUUUAAGUCUCCUGAAGGAACGUUGAAGACGACGACGUUGAUAGGCCGGGUGUGUAAGCGCAGCGAUGCGUUGAGCUAACCGGUACUAAUGAACCGUGAGGCUUAACCUUACAACGCCGAAG
rnacentral:rRNA from 1 species